CAAAAAGGCUCUUCAGAAUAUUAGACUGUUUACAUUUCCUCACAUGAUUAUCGAAACCAAACCAAACUAAACCAGGAGGAAGAUUUCUUUUCCACACUGCCAUUUUGCCAUUCCUUUAUAUUAAAAAUGAAAAGACCUUCAAAUACCCUAACAGAUAGCAAAGAUUUUGAGUGCAAGUUUACAUGCAGGGCCGGGGAUAUUCAUUAAAAUUGUAAUUAGACUAUGAUUAAAUUCAUUCACAGGAGAAACUUUGCUUGUAAGUGUUGCUACAGGAAGAAACCUCCAGUCUGAAAAUUAGUUCAGCAGUCUGAACGAUUUUAAUUAUGCAGAGUUGAUUAUCGCUAGAGAAGGAAACCUUUAUUGCAGCAACUGAAUGAAGAUCUUUUUCCCCCCUUUUUGGUUUCCUGAGCUAAUAUGAGGUACAUAUUUUGAUAACCAAAUGUUUCUUUAAGCAAAGAAAAUGUUAGAAAAUCUGCACAAACUCUGACAGCAGGAGUUAUUAAAUAGUCUCUUAAUAGAUAAUGCAGUGGUCCGUGUAUUUUUUCAUUGUAAGUCAAUUAGCAUUUAGUUAAGGGAAAGGGAAAGGGACAGAAAUGGAGGUUUUUAAACUGUUUGUGUGCCAUCUUUUGUGACAGGUAUUUCUCCUGGAUCCCUCUUGUGUUGCUGUUUCCAUUUUAUGGAUGAAGAACCGGGGAUUGGCAGUAAGUCGGGGUUCCUAUUGCUCCACAUUCUCACCAGCAUUUGGUGUUGUCAGUUUUCUGGAUUUUGACCAUUGUAGUGGGUAAGUAGUGGUAUCUCCUUGUUCUUUUAAUUUACAUUUUCCUGAUGACAUAUGUCAUAGAGCAUCUUCUCUUAUGUUUAUUUGCCAUCUGUAAUUCUUCUUUGCUGAUGUGUCUUUAUGGCGUUUUGCCCAUUUCUUAGCUGGGUCUUUUGCUGAUUUUUUAGUUUGCCCACUUUUUAAGUUCUAAGUGUUCUUUGUAUUUUCUGUUAUUUAUCAGAUAGGUUUUUUUUGCACAUGUUUUCUACCAGUCUAUGGCUUGUCUUUUCAUUAUCCUGACAGUAUCUUUCAAAGAAAGAGUAAUUUUUAAUUUUAAUGACAUUUAGUUUAUCAAUUCUUUAUUUUAUAGGUCAUGUCUUUGGUGUAUAAAAAAGUCAUCUCCAAACUCAAGGUCAUCUAGAUUUUCUAGGUUAUCUUCUAGGAGUUUCAUGGUCUUGCGUUUUAAAUUUAGGUCUGUAAUCCAUUUCAAGUUCAUUUUGUGAAUGGUGUAAGAUCUGUGUCUAGAUUUGUGUAUUUAUUUUUGCAUGCGUAUGUCUAGUUGUUUCGGCACCGUUUGCUAAAAAGACAAAUGUCUCAGGUCAGCUAAUGUAAGUACUCCAACUCUGCUCUCAUCCUUUAAUAUUAUGUUGAUUAUUCUAGGUCUUUUGCUUCUUUAUAUAAAGUGUAAAAUUAAGUUUCUGGGGAUAGCCACAAAAUAACUGCUAAGAUGUUGACUGGCAUAGCAUUGAAUCUAUAGAUCAUCUUGACAAUAUUGAGUCUCCUUAUCCAUAAACCUGGAAUAUGUCUCUAUUAUUUAGUACCUCUUUAAUUUUGUUUAUCAGAGUUUUGUAGUUUUCCUCAUAUAAAUUUUGUAUAUAUUUUGUUAGAUUUGUACCUAAGUAUAGAUGUUUAGGGGUGCUAAUGUAAAUAGUAAUAUGUUUUUAGGUUUGAAUUCCACUUUUUAAAU
rnacentral:lncRNA from 1 species